rnacentral:sRNA from 1 species
AUAUCUCUCUGUACGGGAAGGAUGAGAAGCUUCGACCAAGGUUCGAUUCGAGCGCAGCGAGAAAGCGUUGCCGCAGGCAACGACCCGAAGGGUGAGGAGCUUUAUCUGCGAAUAAUCCUUACCGCUAUAGAA